AAAAUCAUCACCGAUUCGAAGAACAUCAAAGCCGCAUCAUCCACCGUCGACACCAAUAGCCCCUUUUCUUUCUUUGUAGAAAAAAUGGAUAAAAAAUGGAUGUUUGUCGAUCGAUUGUCACAAGAGUACGAGAAUGGGGUAUUGGAAUUCGUUAAGUUUGCUGUUGAACACGCCAAAGACCCCAGUCGAAUGAAGUGUCCUUGCUUGGGUUGUUGUUAUGUGGGUCGGGUUAACGCAGAUGGAUUGAAAUCGUAUUUACUAAUGCGUGGAAUUGAUAGAAGUUAUACGUGUUGGAUAUUUCACGGUGAAAAAAGUAACGACAACGUUGAACCAGGAGAAAAAAGUAGUACGGCCUAUGCUUCAGACGACAAGGACACAGAUACAUACGAUUUUGAUCGAGUCGAAGAGAUUGCAGAUGCACUUGAAGAAGAUCUUCAGGAUUGUCCCCGAAUUUUUGAGAGAUUGGUAAGCGAUGCAGAGAAACCGUUGUAUAAAGGUUGCACUAAAUUUACAAGACUGUCUGCGGUAUUAAAGUUG